rnacentral:rRNA from 1 species
GACUUGACAUCUCGAGAAGUUCGCCUAAUAGCGAAUGUGCCUUCGGGAACUCGAAGACAGGUGGUGCAUGGCUGUCGUCAGCUCGUGUCGUGAGAUGUUGGGUUAAGUCCCGCAACGAGCGCAACCCUCGUUCUUAGUUGCCAGCAUUAAGUUGGGCACUUUAGGAAGACUGCCGGUGACAAACCGGAGGAAGGUGGGGAUGACGUCAAGUCAGCAUGCCCCUUACGUUCUGGGCUACACACGUACUACAAUGGUUGGGACAAAGGGCAGCAAGCUCGCAAGAGUAAGCGAAUCUCAUCAAACCCAGCCUCAGUUCAGAUUGCAGGCUGCAACUCGCCUGCAUGAAGGAGGAAUCGCUAGUAAUCGCAGGUCAGCAUACUGCGGUGAAUUCGUUCCCGG